AAGUGGGACGCCUAACAGACUGAGCCACCCAGGCGCCCCAUAUUAUUUUCUAUAUUUAUAAACAACCUAACAUUCAUCCAGAGCUGUUAUCAGAAAGAUUGCCUCUGUUUUUUUCAAACCACAAAAAGUCUUGUUUUGUUAACCAGGCAAUAACAUUUUAAGUUUCAAACUGUAUUGUGAUGUAAUAUGCUCAAUUAAAACAAACAGCAUUUUGUAAAUAUAAGCCUUUAUGUCCUGUUUUUAUUAGUUUAUGUGUAGGAAUGGGCUAUGGAGCUUGAGAAUCACUAAUGCAGAGGUUCUAAACCAUAGCUGCAUUAUUAGAAUCGCUUGAGAAACUUAGAAAAAAUAGCAAUGCCAAAGCAUUGUCCCAGAUCAAUGACAUGAGAAACUUUCAUGGGGGGUGGGACCCAGGCAUCAGCAAAACUCCCCAGGCAAUUCCAACGUGCAGCCAUGAUACUAAAAAUACUGAGGUCGGAUCUCAGACAUGUAGCAAUCUGAUUUAAUUCGAAUCUGCAAAAAAGACCAAGAAAACUUUUUGUGUAAACAAAAGCAAACCCUGUUAUUACACAAAUCAAACUUUCUACUUUCAUCACUGGGGCUUGGGUUUGUAAGCACUUAAUCAUACCCACGCACUGACGUGAUGUGGAAGGUACAUCUGCCACCAGAUACAGGCAUAUAGACACCCGGUUAACUCAAGGUUCGGUGACAUCACAAAGGCUCUAAGAGCUGGGCAAGUCGGGAGAAGCUUCACGGAAUGGGCAGUAGGAGCUGAGCCUUGGGGAAGAUGUCCAGGACCCGGCCAGCACAAGAAGUGCUACAGGCGACAGUGAACCAGGAACACAGCCCAGCACGUGGGGCAGACGGUCCGCUCGACGGACAAUAGGUUCUUUGAAGAAAUGGAGAAGUCUUCGGAAGACAAGUUGGGAUUUAAUUGUAGAAAGCUUCAGGGUGCCUGCGAGAAACCUUGCACUUGACGCUGUGCGCCUGGUACUGAACACCCCUGAGCAGGAGAGGCCCAGGACGGGCUAGGCGAGGAGCCUGGACACACUCAAGGCUCUGCAAUGUGAGGGGCUGCCGUGGAACGCGUAGAGAAGUCGGGCCAAGUACAAGCAUGCUCUGCUCUGAGCUAAAACACACUGGAAAUGAACGCAUCGUCACAAAUGAAAAUUCUCCCAUCUUGGAUUUUAUUUUUCACAACACUUGAAGAUCCCAUUUUCAAAAUAUGAACAAUAAAGACCCCCCCGCUCCCCACGGGACUUCUCAUUUCACUGCAAAUACAUUCUUUCGGUUUUAGCAACCUUUCACAUAUGCUGCUUUCCACGUCAUUAGAGAAACUUUUCAUUUUAUCCCAUAUAUAUAAAUGUAUAUAAUGGCAUAUAUAAUUGCCAUUAUUUGAAAAACAAAAUUUAUAUUUACAUGUCGAGAGCAAUUUUGUAUAAAUAUACAAAAUACAACAAAUUUGAAGCAGAAACUAGUAUAAAAGUCUGUUUUGG